AUAAGAAAGAAAGAUUAUAAUGUAUAUAUAGAGAGUAAAAUUGUGAUAAUUUUAAAAGUAAACAUUCUCCUUUAUCUUUAUAUUAUAUAAUUGAUGAGAUUAUUUGUGAGACCUCAGAUAGUACUGUAUAUGAGAUAUAAUAGAUUUUAAAUUUUUAACCCGUCUUAAAUAUUUUUUGUGGUGGUUUGGCACAAGAGGUUAAGAAAAUUUAGCGUGUUAGGACAGAAGUAGUUCUAGUAUGGGUGAUCUCCUGAAAAGUUGGGGCGUCACAAUUGGUAUCGGAGUUAAUUACCAAUCGAAAGUGUGAGAUGCGUCUCGACUGAAUUAGAAUUAUACAGCAGGGAGAGAGAGACUCUUAUACUGUUGACUGUUAUGCGUGGAGCGUAACUCACUAUAAAGUCGGUUUAGACUAGCGAGAUGAGUCUCACAUCACCUGAUAUUUAUGAGUCUGAGCCUAACGAGGACUUCAGGGCUUAAAGGAAGAAAAAUAUGAGAUCUCAGAUAAUUCUAUAUAUAAAAUAUGAUAGGGCUAAAACUAAACCGAUUUAAGUAUUUUGGAUGGUGACUAGGUCCAAAAUGUUUAGAGAGUUAAAACCUUCUAGAAUGUUGGAGCGUCACGUUAUUAAAUUAACGAUUGAUUGAUACCGCAUCUUUAUAAAAAUUAAAUUUUAUAAUUUUACGUUAUUAUUUAGUCGUGAUCAAAUGAUUUAAAAUUUAUCUUAUUUUUUUAGCCAUUAAAAAUUAUUAAUUUUGGACUACUUGAAUAUUCCAUAAAAAUUAUUUUAAAAUUAAA
rnacentral:lncRNA from 1 species